CGGUCGGAGCGUGCCCCGAUCCCGGUCCCUCCUGGUGAAUUUCCUAACUGCCCCGGGUCCGAGGGGCUGUGCGCUGUGAGCUGAGCAGUCGGAAGUCCCGCAGCAAAAUCCACGCUGUUUCUCCUAACAUGCGAGACCAACCUUCCGCAGAGGCGCAGAAAGCUGCCCUCCAAUCCGCUGUGACAUGCAGGAAAACAUCCAGAGACUCCCAAAAUUAUAGAUAUUAGCAGUUUAGACUCUUCAAGGUCUUAUCAAGGAAGUCAAAACACACAGUAGCUACAAAUCUCUCUUUCAGCCUCCAGAGCUCUGAGCAUUUGGAUACCUUGACAAGCCCACACUGGAAAGGGCAGAGGAGAAAAAAGGAAAACAAAUGAGGCUUCAGUGAGUGAACUCCUAAA